UACGUAGGACCCCAAGCGUUGUUCGGAAUUACUGGGCUUAAAGGGCGCGUAGGCGGUGAGACAAGUCUGAGGUGAAAUCUUAGGGCUUAACCCUAAACUGCCUUGGAAACUGUUUUACUUGAGUCAGCGAGGGGAUGGUGGAAUUCCCGGUGUAGCAGUGAAAUGCGUAGAUAUCGGGAGGAAGGCCGGUGGCGAAGGCGACCAUCUGGCGCUGAACUGACGCUGAGGCGCGAAAGCGUGGGUAGCAAACAGGAUUAGAUACCCGGGUAGU
rnacentral:rRNA from 1 species